GUCAGGAUACAAUAAGAAGUCAGCAGUCUGCAACCCAGAAGAGGACCCUCACUGGAACCCAGGAAUGUUGGCACUCUGAACUUAGAUUUUCCAGCCUCUAGAAUGCCUUAUGCAAAUCCUGGAAGAUAUCAAUUCUGAGGGCUGGGGUGUAUCUUGAUCACCUUUGGAAUCUACCACUGCAUGGAGCACAGCACUUACCACCUAGUAGGUAAGCAACAAAUGCUUGCUUGUCAAUUGAUUUAUUCAGUAGACUCAGUGCUAUGUGUACAUUAAACACCUGGGGAGCUUUAAACAAUAAACGAGCAAACCAACAAAUGCUGCAUCAGCCUAGACCAACACAAUCCUGAUCUCUGGAUGUGGGAUC
rnacentral:lncRNA from 10 species